rfam:Phytophthora ramorum strain Pr102 Scaffold1585 genomic scaffold, whole genome shotgun sequence.
AUACCUUCUCGGCCUUUUGGCUAAGAUCAAGUGUAGUAUCUGUUCUAAUCAGUGUGAAAACUGGUUUCCGACGUUUUUCGUUGGUCUUUUUCACAUUCAUUUUUGGGCAUCCCGUUGUCGCGCAGCUUGCUGUGCGAGGACGGGGCGGUUUCCGGGGGCUUUCACCUUUCCCCCGCGAGGCCAACUACAU